rnacentral:rRNA from 1 species
GACGAACGCUGGCGGCGUGCUUAACACAUGCAAGUCGAACGGAAAGGCCCUGCCUUUGUGGGGUGCUCGAGUGGCGAACGGGUGAGUAACACGUGAGUAACCUGCCCUUGACUUUGGGAUAACUUCAGGAAACUGGGGCUAAUACCGGAUAGGAGCUCCUGCUGCAUGGUGGGGGUUGGAAAGUUUCGGCGGCUGGGGAUGGACUCGCGGCUUAUCAGCUUGUUGGUGGGGUAGUGGCUUACCAAGGCUUUGACGGGUAGCCGGCCUGAGAGGGUGACCGGCCACAUUGGGACUGAGAUACGGCCCAGACUCCUACGGGAGGCAGCAGUGGGGAAUAUUGCACAAUGGGCGGAAGCCUGAUGCAGCAACGCCGCGUGCGGGAUGACGGCCUUCGGGUUGUAAACCGCUUUCGCCUGUGACGAAGCGUGAGUGACGGUAAUGGGUAAAGAAGCACCGGCUAACUACGUGCCAGCAGCCGCGGUGAUACGUAGGGUGCGAGCGUUGUCCGGAUUUAUUGGGCGUAAAGGGCUCGUAGGUGGUUGAUCGCGUCGGAAGUGUAAUCUUGGGGCUUAACCCUGAGCGUGCUUUCGAUACGGGUUGACUUGAGGAAGGUAGGGGAGAAUGGAAUUCCUGGUGGAGCGGUGGAAUGCGCAGAUAUCAGGAGGAACACCAGUGGCGAAGGCGGUUCUCUGGGCCUUUCCUGACGCUGAGGAGCGAAAGCGUGGGGAGCGAACAGGCUUAGAUACCCUGGUAGUCCACGCUGUAAACGGUGGGUACUAGGUGUGGGGUCCAUUCCACGGGUUCCGUGCCGUAGCUAACGCUUUAAGUACCCCGCCUGGGGAGUACGGCCGCAAGGCUAAAACUCAAAGGAAUUGACGGGGCCCCGCACAAGCGGCGGAGCAUGCGGAUUAAUUCGAUGCAACGCGUAGAACCUUACCUGGGUUUGACAUGGAUCGGGAGUGCUCAGAGAUGGGUGUGCCUCUUUUGGGGUCGGUUCACAGGUGGUGCAUGGCUGUCGUCAGCUCGUGUCGUGAGAUGUUGGGUUAAGUCCCGCAACGAGCGCAACCCUUGUUCACUGUUGCCAGCACGUUAUGGUGGGGACUCAGUGGAGACCGCCGGGGUCAACUCGGAGGAAGGUGGGGAUGACGUCAAGUCAUCAUGCCCCUUAUGUCCAGGGCUUCACGCAUGCUACAAUGGCUGGUACAGAGAGUGGCGAGCCUGUGAGGGUGAGCGAAUCUCGGAAAGCCGGUCUCAGUUCGGAUUGGGGUCUGCAACUCGACCUCAUGAAGUCGGAGUCGCUAGUAAUCGCAGAUCAGCAACGCUGCGGUGAAUACGUUCCCGGG